GGGGUUGUUUAGGUGUUCAGGUGGUUGCUAUGGUGUAGAUAUGUGGUUGUUUAGGUGUUCAGGUGGUUGCUAGGGAGUUGCUAUGUGGUUUAGUUAUUUAGGUG